rnacentral:rRNA from 1 species
AUUGAACGCUGGCGGCAUGCCUUACACAUGCAAGUCGAACGGUAACAGGUUAAGCUGACGAGUGGCGAACGGGUGAGCAAUAUAUCGGAACGUGCCCAGUCGCGGGGGAUAACUGCUCGAAAGAGCAGCUAAUACCGCAUACGACCUGAGGGUGAAAGCGGGGGAGCGCAAGACCUCGCGCGAUUGGAGCGGCCGAUAUCAGAUUAGGUAGUUGGUGGGGUAAAGGCCCACCAAGCCAACGAUCUGUAGCUGGUCUGAGAGGACGACCAGCCACACUGGGACUGAGACACGGCCCAGACUCCUACGGGAGGCAGCAGUGGGGAAUUUUGGACGAUGGGCGCAAGCCUGAUCCAGCCAUGCCGCGUGCGGGAAGAAGGCCUUCGGGUUGUAAACCGCUUUUGUCAGGGAAGAAAAGGCUUCUGCUAAUACCGGAGGCUCAUGACGGUACCUGAAGAAUAAGCACCGGCUAACUACGUGCCAGCCGCCGCGGUAAGAC